CUCAAAUAAUUUAGGCAAGAAAAAAUUUGCUUGGACCUGAGCUGGCUGUCUAGACGGUCAUGAUUGCACACAGGAGGUGAGAACUGUUAUCACUCAUGUUGCAUGGAUGAAGCAACUGAAGCUCACAGAGUCCAGGAACUUGCCCAAGAUCACACAAUGAGGAAUGAAGCCAGGAUUUGGACCUGGGCCGUCCAACUCAAGAGCUCGCAGCUCCCUCCCAGUGCCCUCCUGCUGAUGUCCCUACGCAGCCCGGGUCAGGGCUCCCUCAGGCCCAGGGCAGCUUUUUCUGCUCUCAGAACGGUAUGUUAACAAGCCUGUCGGUCCUUAUGUUGAGAAGUGGUUUGCCCAUUUGCAUUUUGCUCCUUUCAGGCUGGAGGAAAGAUGGAAGGAAAUUGACAUUUGCAGUGCUUCCCCAUUCCUGCUCUUCUGCACUGCUCAGAGUGGCCUUGUGAGGCUGGGGUCAGGAUCCCCCCACGUUACAGGUGAAGAAUCUGAGUGAGGUUCAGAGAAAUGAAGUGAUUUGACCACGCUGGAGAGGGUGAAGCGGAGAGAGGAGGAGCUGCAGGGUCGGCCGCCUGUCAAAAUUCAGACCUCCGUCUUCCUGACCAAGGGGGAAGGAGCCGUUCCUUGUUUCUGAUCCAUGCACACACUCUACGAAGCACCUGAGAUAUUUUAUUGCACACUGUUGCUUAAUAAAUAUGUGUUCUCUCAC
rnacentral:lncRNA from 1 species